CCUACGGGAGGCAGCAGUGAGGAAUAUUGGUCAAUGGGCGCGAGCCUGAACCAGCCAAGUCGCGUGAGGGAAGACGGUCCUAUGGAUUGUAAACCUCUUUUGUCGGGGAGCAAAAGACGCCACGCGUGGCGUUCCGAGAGUACCCGAAGAAAAAGCAUCGGCUAACUCCGUGCCAGCAGCCGCGGGAAUACGGAGGAUGCGAGCGUUAUCCGGAUGUAUUGGGUUUAAAGGGUGCGCAGGCGGAAGAUCAAGUCAGCGGUAAAAUUGAGAGGCUCAACCUCUUCGAGCCGUUGAAACUGGUUUUCUUGAGUGAGUGAGAAGUAUGCGGAAUGCGUGGUGUAGCGGUGAAAUGCAUAGAUAUCACGCAGAACUCCGAUUGCGAAGGCAGCAUACCGGCGCUCAACUGACGCUCAUGCACGAAAGUGUGGGUAUCGAACAGGAUUAGAUACCCGAGUAGUC
rnacentral:rRNA from 1 species